rnacentral:rRNA from 1 species
AGAGUUUGAUCCUGGCUCAGAUCGAACGCUGGCGGCAUGGCUAAAACAUGCAAGUCGAACGAUCUUCGGGCUUCGGCCCGGAGAGAGUGGCGAACGGGCGAGGAAUCCAUUUCUAACGUACCCCAUGGUCGAGGAUAGCUCACCGAAAGGUGUGGUAAUACUCGAUGAUCCGCGAACACCGUAUGGUGCUCUCGGCAAAGGUUUACUGCCUUGGGAUCGGGAAAUGUCCUAUCAGCUUGUUGGUGAGGUAACGGCUCACCAAGGCUAAGACGGGUAGCGGGUGUGAGAGCACGACCCGCCGCAUCGGGACUGAGACACUGCCCGGACUCCUACGGGAGGCUGCAGUAACGAAUCUUCCGCAAUGCGCGAAAGCGUGACGGAGCAAUGCCGCGUGUAGGAUGAAGCCCCUUGGGGUGUAAACUACUGUCAGGGUUUAGCAAUAAUGAGCAGACCCAAAGGAAGGGCCGGCUAACUUCGUGCCAGCAGCCGCGGUAAUACGAAGGGCCCGAGCGUUGAUCGGAAUCACUGGGCUUAGAGCGUGCGUAGGCGGAUGGGCAAGUACUCUGUGAAAUCCCACGGCUCAACCGUGGAAUCGCUCGGUAGACUGCCCGUCUUGAGCUUGUCAGGGGUCGUCGGAACUCUAGGUGGAGCGGUGAAAUGCGUAGAUAUCUAGAGGAACGCCAAAGGUGAAGACAGACGACUGGGGCACAGCUGACGCUGAGGCACGAAAGCGUGGGUAGCGAACGGGAUUAGAUACCCCGGUAGUCCACGCCGUAAACGAUGUGUACUAGGUCGAGGAGGUUUUGACACCAUCUCGGCCGAAGCUAAAGUAUUAAGUACACCGCCUGGGGAGUACGGUCGCAAGGCUAAAACUCAAAGGAAUUGACGGGGGCUCACACAAGCGGUGGAG